UGUGUGUGUGUGUGUGUGGUUGGGGGGGGAGGGGAUCUGGGGCUUGGGGCUUUGGCAUCACAGAGCUCAUUAGACCCUCCAGGAUCAUUUCCCCUGGUGCACUCAGGUCCAGGCCACCCCUCAGGGGAGCUGGGGGAGGAAGGGAGUGUUAAUAACUCAGUCAUGUAAACAACCCCUACCAGCCUGCCCUGCCACAGUAGCGGCCUCUGGGGGGAGGCGGAGGGGAUGAGCAAGUCUAUGCCAACGUGACCCAAGUCCUGCCCGGUGCCCCUUCUGGCCUUCUCUUCUUGGGCCCCCUCCUCUUCUCCUCAACUGGUAAAAGGAUUCCUGCCUGUCUUUCAGUCUCUUGGGAGACAAUUCCCUCCUAGCUCUUCAUGGCUCCUCUCUCCAGGGAUGGGUGCUGGAGGAGGAAACCGGCGGAGCAGCUUCCCCACUCUCAGUUGCGCGUCUGGCGAUGGCGAUGAGAGGUCCUGCUGCGCUGCCCGCCGCGCUCCCCCUCCAUUAGCCGCGCCGCGCCGCGCCGCGCCCUCGCCGGUGCCUCUCUCGGGACCCGGGAUCGGUCCCGCGCUUCCAGGCACGACCCCCUCCCCCGGCCUCUCGGCCUCCCCCCCACUCGGCGGUCUCCGACCCGGGGCGCGCGUUCCCCCCGGCCCGGCUCCCACUCUCCCCCCGGGGGCACCCGCUCCCCAGCCCCGGCCCGGCCCUCCCCGCGGCGCAGCACGGAGUCUCGGCGUCCCAUGGCGCAGCCCACGGCCUCGGCCCAGAAGCUGGUGCGGCCGAUCCGCGCCGUGUGCCGCAUCCUCCAGAUCCCGGAAUCCGACCCCUCCAACCUGCGGCCCUAGAGCGCCCCCGCCGCCCCGGGGGGAGAGCACGCGAGCGCGCUGAGCGGAGAGCGGGAGGACGCGUCCUCGCUCGCCGGCCGGGAGGCCCCGGAGCCGGCCCAUGGGGAGCGGGCGCCCGGCCCCGGCCACCACGCCCGCCGCCGCCCGCGCCGCGCCCGGCCCGCCGAGCCCAGGUAAGCGCCGAAGGGGCCCGGGCGGCCCUGCUGCCGCGCUCGCCGCGCCCUCCCCGGCCGGCCGCACGC
rnacentral:lncRNA from 1 species